rnacentral:rRNA from 1 species
AGAGUUUGAUCCUGGCUCAGGAUGAACGCUAGCGACAGGCCUAACACAUGCAAGUCGAGGGGCAGCGGGGGAGAGAGCUUGCUCUCUUCUGCCGGCGACCGGCGCACGGGUGAGUAACGCGUAUGCGACCUGCCCUGCACAGGGGGAUAACCCGGAGAAAUCCGGACUAAUACCACAUGCCCCGUUGGAGCUGCAUGGCUCGGAGGGGAAAGGAGGCGGACUCCGGUGCAGGAUGGGCAUGCGUGACAUUAGCUAGUCGGCGGGGUAACGGCCCACCGAGGCGACGAUGUCUAGGGGUUCUGAGAGGAAGGUCCCCCACACUGGUACUGAGACACGGACCAGACUCCUACGGGAGGCAGCAGUGAGGAAUAUUGGUCAAUGGGCGGGAGCCUGAACCAGCCAAGUCGCGUGAGGGAAGACGGUCCUAUGGAUUGUAAACCUCUUUUGUCAGGGAGCAAUUCCCGCCACGCGUGGCGGGAGGGAGAGUACCUGAAGAAAAAGCAUCGGCUAACUCCGUGCCAGCAGCCGCGGUAAUACGGAGGAUGCGAGCGUUAUCCGGAUUUAUUGGGUUUAAAGGGUGCGUAGGCGGAGUGCCAAGUCAGCGGUAAAAAUUCGGGGCUCAACCCCGUCGUGCCGUUGAAACUGGCACCCUUGAGUGGGCGAGAAGUAUGCGGAAUGCGUGGUGUAGCGGUGAAAUGCAUAGAUAUCACGCAGAACCCCGAUUGCGAAGGCAGCAUACCGGCGCCCUACUGACGCUGAAGCACGAAAGCGUGGGUAUCGAACAGGAUUAGAUACCCUGGUAGUCCACGCAGUAAACGA